UACGAAGGGGGCUAGCGUUGCUCGGAAUUACUGGGCGUAAAGCGCACGUAGGCGGCUUGUUAAGUCAGGGGUGAAAUCCUGGAGCUCAACUCCAGAACUGCCUUUGAUACUGGCGAGCUUGAGUUCGGAAGAGGUGAGUGGAACUGCGAGUGUAGAGGUGAAAUUCGUAGAUAUUCGCAAGAACACCAGUGGCGAAGGCGGCUCACUGGCCCGAUACUGACGCUGAGGUGCGAAAGCGUGGGGAGCAAACAGG
rnacentral:rRNA from 1 species